AUCCAUAAGGCAAAGCACAUAAACAGUUUCAUCUUCUUGCCCUUUCUUUCUCCCUUGUCUGUUUCUUUUCCUUCUUGCAAGCUGAGCUCCCUCCUCUUUUCCCCCUCGCCUAAUCUCCUCCAAAUGAAAGAAUCGAGCCCUGCAUGUCACACCACUAGAUCCCCAUGAUUCUAAGCUUUCCAUCCAUCCAAACAUCUUGCACAUGCAUGGGUUGGUGAGGGAGAUCCGGAAGAAGAUAGGUAGAGCUUCCUGCGGAUUGCAGCAGCAAAACAACCCUGUUUUUCCUUCACUUGGUCACCGGUUGAAGAUUUUAAGGCUAGGAGCAAGUUGCAAAGCUGUUUUUCUCUCCUUGACUGACAGAGCUCGGUGUCUUCUUUACUUCCCUGUUUUGAUUCGGAGAAUUCGGAGUACGUGGAGCAAGACUCAGAGGUUGAGUGUGUUUCCACACAGCAGCAAGGCAAGC